rnacentral:rRNA from 1 species
GGGACGAACGCUGGCGGCGUGCUUAACACAUGCAAGUCGAGCGGAAAGGCCCUUCGGGGUACUCGAGCGGCGAACGGGUGAGUAACACGUGAGUAACCUGCCCUGGACUUUGGGAUAACCCUCGGAAACGGGGGCUAAUACCGAAUAUGACUUCUGCCCGCAUGGGUGGUGGUGGAAAGUUUUUCGGUCUGGGAUGGGCUCGCGGCCUAUCAGCUUGUUGGUGGGGUGAUGGCCUACCAAGGCGACGACGGGUAG